UUUUUGGAACAGAUAUGAUGCACAGAGGAUGUUAUGGACCCGUGGUUUUUUUUCGGCAACACUUAAAUCAUUAACAGGAUACAAAUCAGAAGAGGCAUAUGCAAUGCUAAAGUCGUAAACACUGGUGACGUGACUACGAAAAACCAUGGGAAGAAUUGAAAAAUCUUGUAGCCAAAGAAUGAGCUGUUACAACUGCAAUAUGUUCAAUGUUACACAGUUUCGCAUAGACGAAGAAACUAUUCAGGUCUCUGACAACUGUACAAAAUAUUAUGAUCCUUCUUCUUUUGAUCCAUUUAUCAAAGUUUACGAGGAUGGAAAAACAUUAACAUUUAACGGAUCUCGCUGUUGUGAGGGAACCCGCAUUUUAUCAUACAAUGAAGGAUGGAGUGGCAGAUUACUCACCGGUAGGAGAGUCAGCCAUAUUUGUGGAGUCCUUGACUCAGCAUAGAGCUUCACCAAAGAUGAAUAAAACGCCUUCUGACAAUAACUUGAUUAUUGAAUCAAAUGAAACGAUAUAUAAUGCUGCCUAUAAUACAUGAUCUGGACGAUCCAACACCGACGAAGAAAUCUACGUUGUUAUUCAAUUAAAAGUAGAAUAUCAAAGGAAAUGGA
rnacentral:misc_RNA from 1 species